rnacentral:rRNA from 1 species
UCAUCUUCGGGGGUAGAGCACUGUUUCGGCUAGGGGGUCAUCCCGACUUACCAACCCGAUGCAAACUACGAAUACCGAAGAAUGUUAUCACGGGAGACACACGGCGGGUGCUAACGUCCGUCGUGAAGAGGGAAACAACCCAGACCGCCAGCUAAGGUCCCAAAGUCAUGGUUAAGUGGGAAACGAUGUGGGAAGGCACAGACAGCCAGGAUGUUGGCUUAGAAGCAGCCAUCAUUUAAAGAAAGCGUAAUAGCUCACUGGUCGAGUCGGCCUGCGCGGAAGAUGUAACGGGGCUAAACCAUGCACCGAAGCUGCGGCAGCGACACUAUGUGUUGUUGGGUAGGGGAGCGUUCUGUAAGCCUGCGAAGGUGGCCUGUGAGGGCUGCUGGAGGUAUCAGAAGUGCGAAUGCUGACAUAAGUAACGAUAAAGCGGGUGAAAAGCCCGCUCGCCGGAAGACCAAGGGUUCCUGUCCAACGUUAAUCGGGGCAGGGUGAGUCGACCCCUAAGGCGAGGCCGAAAGGCGUAGUCGAUGGGAAACAGGUUAAUAUUCCUGUACUUGGUGUUACUGCGAAGGGGGGACGGAGAAGGCUAUGUUAGCCGGGCGACGGUUGUCCCGGUUUAAGCAUGUAGGCGGAGGUUCCAGGUAAAUCCGGUACCUUUUAACGCUGAGGUGUGAUGACGAGGCACUACGGUGCUGAAGUAACAAAUGCCCUGCUUCCAGGAAAAGCCUCUAAGCAUCAGGUAACAUUAAAUCGUACCCCAAACCGACACAGGUGGUCAGGUAGAGAAUACCAAGGCGCUUGAGAGAACUCGGGUGAAGGAACUAGGCAAAAUGGUGCCGUAACUUCGGGAGAAGGCACGCUGGUGUGUAGGUGAAGUCCCUGCGGAUGGAGCUGAGACCAGUCGAAGAUACCAGCUGGCUGCAACUGUUUAUUAAAAACACAGCACUGUGCAAACACGAAAGUGGACGUAUACGGUGUGACGCCUGCCCGGUGCCGGAAGGUUAAUUGAUGGGGUUAUCCGUAAGGAGAAGCUCUUGAUCGAAGCCCCGGUAAACGGCGGCCGUAACUAUAACGGUCCUAAGGUAGCGAAAUUCCUUGUCGGGUAAGUUCCGACCUGCACGAAUGGCGUAAUGAUGGCCAGGCUGUCUCCACCCGAGACUCAGUGAAAUUGAACUCGCUGUGAAGAUGCAGUGUACCCGCGGCAAGACGGAAAGACCCCGUGAACCUUUACUAUAGCUUGACACUGAACAUUGAGCCUUGAUGUGUAGGAUAGGUGGGAGGCUUUGAAGCGUGGACGCCAGUCUGCGUGGAGCCAACCUUGAAAUACCACCCUUUAAUGUUUGAUGUUCUAACGUAGGCCCCUGACCGGGGUUGCGGACAGUGUCUGGUGGGUAGUUUGACUGGGGCGGUCUCCUCCCAAAGAGUAACGGAGGAGCACGAAGGUUAGCUAAUCCUGGUCGGACAUCAGGAGGUUAGUGCAAUGGCAUAAGCUAGCUUGACUGCGAGCGUGACGGCGCGAGCAGGUGCGAAAGCAGGUCAUAGUGAUCCGGUGGUUCUGAAUGGAAGGGCCAUCGCUCAACGGAUAAAAGGUACUCCGGGGAUAACAGGCUGAUACCGCCCAAGAGUUCAUAUCGACGGCGGUGUUUGGCACCUCGAUGUCGGCUCAUCACAUCCUGGGGCUGAAGUAGGUCCCAAGGGUAUGGCUGUUCGCCAUUUAAAGUGGUACGCGAGCUGGGUUUAGAACGUCGUGAGACAGUUCGGUCCCUAUCUGCCGUGGGCGCUGGAGAAUUGAGGGGGGCUGCUCCUAGUACGAGAGGACCGGAGUGGACGCAUCACUGGUGUUCGGGUUGUCAUGCCAAUGGCACUGCCCGGUAGCUAAAUGCGGAAGAGAUAAGUGCUGAAAGCAUCUAAGCACGAAACUUGCCCCGAGAUGAGUUCUCCCUGAGACUUUAAGUCUCCUGAAGGAACGUUGAAGACGACGACGUUGAUAGGCCGGGUGUGUAAGCGCAGCGAUGCGUUGAGCUAACCGGUACUAAUGAACCGUGAGGCUUAACCUUACAACGCCGAAGCUGUU